GGGUUAAUACCCUGGUGUCCUGACGGUACCGGAAGAAUAAGCACCGGCUAACUUCGUGCCAGCAGCCGCGGUAAUACGAAGGGUGCAAGCGUUACUCGGAAUUACUGGGCGUAAAGCGUGCGUAGGUGGUUCGUUAAGUCCGAUGUGAAAGCCCUGGGCUCAACCUGGGAAUGGCAUUGGAUACUGGCGGGCUAGAGUGCGGUAGAGGGUAGUGGAAUUCCCGGUGUAGCAGUGAAAUGCGUAGAGAUCGGGAGGAACAUCCGUGGCGAAGGCGACUACCUGGACCAGCACUGACACUGAGGCACGAAAGCGUGGGGAGCAAACAGGAUUAGAUACCCUGGUAGUCCACGCCCUAAACGAUGCGAACUGGAUGUUGGGCUCAACUUGGAGCUCAGUAUCGAAGCUAACGCGUUAAGUUCGCCGCC
rnacentral:rRNA from 1 species